rnacentral:rRNA from 1 species
AUGGAUCGGAGUAGCCCCGCGUCCCCGGCGUCGAGAUCUGAGAGGCCCCGGCCACUAUGCGCCGGUCCCGCCAUGAAUCAGGUGGUCGUCGGGCCUGUUGCCUCAAGCCAGGGUGGCGUCGCCGCUGCCGCAGAUGCAGAACCCAGUGAGGAGCCCGAAGCGCGAUGUCGUCUCGGCCGCUGCCGAGUCUGGUGGUCGCCUAAAUCCCGUGCGCAAUCGUCUGCUCCUCAGCGACUGCUCUUCGACAACCACACAAAGCACGUCCUUUUCUCGGAAACCUUGCAGUUCGUCACCGUUCCCUGUGCGUUUGCUCCCCCCGGUGUAGUCUGGCGACCAUGA